UCUUAUCAUGCACUAAGUAAGCGGGAAUUUGGAUCCAACAUGGCACAUACGGUCUUCAGUUUCGUAACACUCAACCAGUUGAGAGACAACCCGGUUUCCUUGUUACAACGAACAAAUCAGCCAGACUCGAGAGUGUGACAGACUGAAGAGGUCAGCUUGGGAUGGAUACAGGGUCAGAACAGCAAGUGAGAUGCCUGAGGAGGAUGGAAACAGUGGAGCAUGUGAAGAAGAGCUGGAGACAGAGAACAAAACGUGCACUUCAUGCAAAAACUGUGCCAUGUGUUUCUAUUUGAUUCUAUCCCGAUACAAUUUAUUGACUGAUGCCUAUCAUGUAAUUGGUUUGGGCUACAAAUUCCUCCUGACUUUGUCAGUAACUCAAGUAGCAUGUGAAAGGUGUUUCUCCACUCUGAAGUUUGUCAAGAAUAGACUGAGAAGCACUAUGUCCCAAGACCACUUGGAAGGGUUAAUGCUAAUGUCUACAGAGAAAGAGAUACUGAUGGCCCUAGACAGUGAUGGAGUUAUUGACAGGAUUGCGCAGAAGAGUACACUGCUGCAACAUCUGCUGGCGACGUAAGCACCCAUGGCUGAAGAAUUCAAGAAGAAAUCACACUGUGUUUGAUCACCCUCUCUGCCACAUAUGUUACAAGCUGUGAAUGUGAUGAUCAUCAAACCAUGCAGCACCAAACUCCAGGGAGGCACCUGCAGAUAUUAUCUUGGUUAUCUUCACCGGACAGUUUUUACUGAACGCUUUCAGCAAACAGUAACUUUACAGAAGGACUACCCAAGGAUAACUAAUGAAAUAGUGUCAAGGUUUCUCAAAUAAGACAAAUAGGUGUAUGGUCUAGUUGUGGGCUUAUUUAGACACCGAGUACAUCUAGACACAGAGGUUCAAACACAUUUAACAGCUUUAUUAAAUGCAAGUUACAAAAUACAGAGUAGACAUGUCUUCCAAAAUUCUGUUUAGGUUUUCCCACUUUUUAUAACUUACUAGUUAGUAGUUUCAUAACAUCUUGUCAGAAUUCAACUUGACAGUCCCUGUCCCUCCUUUGCGGGAGCAACAACUCAAACAUGACCAUUCUGUACAUGCGAUUCUGCUAUCAUAGACUUAUUUUGACAUUAUAUAGUGGUAUGUCACAGACAAUUCUGACCAUUUACCACACAGACAAUUCUGACCAUUUACCACAUCCCAUUACAACCUUAAGUUGUAAUGGGAUAAGUUAAUAUAUUCACAAUAAAACACAGACAAUGAAAAGGGAGAAAUGCUGAAUAAACGUAUAUAGUUUUAAAAGGUUAAUACAGAAUCCUCGAAAAACAAAGAAGAAAAUGACUUACUCUGUUUAAAAAGUAUUUAAACUACUCCGUCCCACACAGCAAACAAAACUGAAUAUAUUUUGGUUCAAAACUGUUAAAUUACCUAUACAUUUUUUAAAAUAACGUGGAUAAAUAUUUUUAGAGAAAAAAAAUCUAACAGAGUUCAAUUCCUAAAAAAAAAAAAAAACUAGAUCGGAGGACUAUCACAAGGGACCAAGCAAACGCUGGACAAUGAUUUGCAGAGACUGCACUGUGGCCGAAGAGGGGACAGAGACUUCUCUCACACACGUUCAGCCAGCUCACUCCUGAAGUAUCUGUUUGUGCAAGAUGGCUGUCAUAGAGUCAGCCAGAUAGAGAUUUGCCAAAAGCCCAGGGAGUGACAGAUGAUUUCGUUUUAAGAUUAAAUAUGUAAAAACUGUGAAGAAAAGACUGUUUUACAUAAAAUAGCAUUAAAUUAAAUCAGGGCUUGUUACUAUAGGUCAAAUAUGAAAAAAAAAAAACAAUUCUGUUUGAUAGCUCUCUCUAUAUAUCCAAACAGCUUAAAAACCAUUGCCUACACCACAAACUGUUUUGUCUGGCUUCAAUUAUUACAGGUUUUAUCUGUGUAGAUUUAAAACUAUAUGUGUGUGUGUAAAUAUAUAUGUCUCUUUGGAACCUGGAGAAAGUGAUUUUAAAAUGCUCAUAGGCUCUGAGCAAAUAUUUUGAAAGCAGCAUCUCCUUCAAAGCUGUGUGAAGUAGUGCUGAAACACUUUUUAAAUGAAUA